rnacentral:rRNA from 1 species
CCUACGGGGGGCAGCAGUGGGGAAUAUUGCACAAUGGGCGCAAGCCUGAUGCAGCCAUGCCGCGUGUGUGAAGAAGGCCUUCGGGUUGUAAAGCACUUUCAGCGGGGAGGAAGGCGUUAAGGUUAAUAACCUUGGCGAUUGACGUUACCCGCAGAAGAAGCACCGGCUAACUCCGUGCCAGCAGCCGCGGUAAUACGGAGGGUGCAAGCGUUAAUCGGAAUUACUGGGCGUAAAGCGCACGCAGGCGGUCUGUCAAGUCGGAUGUGAAAUCCCCGGGCUCAACCUGGGAACUGCAUUCGAAACUGGCAGGCUAGAGUCUUGUAGAGGGGGGUAGAAUUCCAGGUGUAGCGGUGAAAUGCGUAGAGAUCGGGAGGAAUACCGGUGGCGAAGGCGGCCCCCUGGACAAAGACUGACGCUCAGGUGCGAUAGCGUGGGGAGCAAACAGGAUUAGAUACCCGAGGAGUC